UACGUAGGUCCCGAGCGUUGUCCGGAUUUAUUGGGCGUAAAGCGAGCGCAGGUGGUUUAUUAAGUCUGGUGUAAAAGGCAGUGGCUCAACCAUUGUAUGCAUUGGAAACUGGUAGACUUGAGUGCAGGAGAGGAGAGUGGAAUUCCAUGUGUAACGGUGAAAUGCGUAGAUAUAUGGAGGAACGCCGGUGGCGAAAGCGGCUCUCUGGCCUGUAACUGACACUGAGGCUCGAAAGCGUGGGGAGCAAACAGG
rnacentral:rRNA from 1 species